AAGCGGAAUAUAGGAAGCAAAAUAUAGUGAGCGCUAAAACUAAAACUAUUGCACACAGAAGGACCAAGAAGCAAGAGGGACAUGUCCUCUGAUGAAAGGUACGGAGUGGCAGCUACUGACCUGAGAGGGUAUUCUGUCAGGGGCUUUCUGGACAAGAAGAGACCCAGUAAGAAACUGCUGUCUGUGAAGUACCAGAGAAGAUGGUGUGUUCUUCACGACUCCACGCUUUAUUACUUUGACGAUCCAAAAGACAGGAGACAAAAAGGCGCUUUUUCUCUUAUAGGUUUGUAACCGGGGUAUUUGAUUGGUCAGUGAUUCAUCGUCAUUAAUUACGUGUGUUACGAUAUUUCAAAAAAGUUCUAUCGCAAUUUGGCGAGUUUUAACCAAAGAGAAGAUUAUUUACCAUAACAUUCUAACAAUCUAUAUUGUUUUUGCUAAGUAUGAUUUUAUUGAUACCUCAUAGCUUAUUAAUUUUGUUCAAUAAAGUUUCAACAAGUGCUUUUCAUUUUGGCGAUAUCGCUCAGAUCCUUAAUCUAUUAAUCGUUUCCUUGUGUUCAUCAAAUAAACUUGUGUUGAUCAGCAAUACUCAUCAAUAAGUGAAGUGACCUUCAAUGGUUUCAUAUAUCAGGUUACAGAUUUUGGCACGGAGGGACAGAGAACUCGUUUUCAUUGGUAGCAAGCGGGAAAAGAACAUAUGACGUAAGGUCUUUAUUUAAAUUGACCAAUUAGAAGCCGAGUUCAAGAAAUUUGUCAGACAAAUCAUCAAAUAGUUUUAACAUUCAAUCAUAUUAUAUCGUAUCAUAUCAUAUCAUUUAAUGCUAUAUAAUUAUGAUUACCUACACAUAUAAAUUUUACUUCUAACAACUUUAAUGAAAUUUAUUUUCAAAAGUAUCAUGUACAUUGCCGUGGUUUGGGCAAAGCCAGACAACUCUUAAAAUAUAACUUUUACAGCUUUUGCAAUAUUAGUUCAAAAAUAAUAUUCAAUUAAAAUUGUCGGGGUUUUUUUUACAGUUUAUUUGUCCAACGAUUGAGGAUUUUGAGAAAUGGAAAGCUGCGAUUAUUGCAGUUACAGAAAAUGUCCCUUCCGGCCACGAAGUUUUCGUGAACAAGAAAUCCAACUAUGAGAAGUCCCCGUACGACAGGGUGAAGGCCUCACCGUCCAUAGACCGGAAAGUAGUCCGGAAGCCCUCACUAACCCGGGAGAGCUCUGAUGACAGUAGCGAGGGCAUUGACCCGAUCCCUCCGGCACGACCCCCACCCAUCAAACGCCCACCCCAAAGACUCCCCGCGCCGCCGGUACCGAGAACAGUGCCAGGGAAAACCCCACUGUCCAAGAAGCAGUCUGAGCCUCGGGAUAUGUACGCCUCGGUCAACAAGGUCCACCUAAGUAGAUCAAACACCGCUAUACCCGUCCCUGUAGACAAACCAAGUGGUUGGGACGACGACGAUUUGGACGACUAUGACGUUGUGGACCGUCACCAGAGGUUCAGUGAUAACAGCAGCGAUUCCGAGGACGAUACUUACGCCCGCCCUGACAUGAACUUAGAACCAGUUUAUUCGUCCAUUCGUGACCACAUCGCACACCCCGACUCCUCGUCAGAUUCCGGUGGUGAGCCCCUGGGCAUUUACCGUUCUUCUCACUACUCCUCGGCAUCGGAGAUCGAGGGCCUCAGAAUAAGGACUACCUCGGGGUACGACCAUCCUUAUGACGUAGCGAGCCUCAAAAUACAGACCGAGCGGGUUUCUACAGGUGAACCAUCUUACCUUACAAGUGAAGACUUACAGGGCCCAAGGAAGGCAAGCAUUUCCGCCACCAAGAACGUGGAAUCUAACAUUGCCUCAUUGCUAGGUCUAGGUCUAAAUUUGAAGGACAAAGCCAAAACAGACUCGGACAGUGAUUCAAGUGUAGACCCGUACGUGGAAUUCGUCGGAGAGGGUGUGAUAAAGGAGAACAAACAACCAACAAAGAACAAGACCUCCAGAAAAAAGCGCCAUCAUGAGGAACCCGCGCUAAACAGUGUUCCUGAAGACCCGUAUAUGGAGUUCGUGGGCGAGGGGUUAAUGUGUGGGAAGGGAGACAGUGACGAGAAGGAUUCUACAGAGGAAGAAGGGCCCAGUGUGAACCGACAGACUGAAAACAUGAAGAACGAAAGUGUAAAGAAAAAGCCGCUGUCUUACCACCGCUCCCUACAGCUGGAGCUCAACAAGAAACUCGUCAAGCGCCUACACGAACCGGAGGAAGUGACGUCAGAAUCAAAAGAGUCUGGGCAGUCAGGAGACGAUGAACCGUUGUACGAGAACUUCCUACAGAUAAACACUCUAGAGACGCGGAGUUUGCCACGUGAUAUAAAGAUACCCUCCACACCUCCUCUACAGUCUCACAAACGAAAACAAAACAGUUUUGAUUCAAACACAGACAGCUCCAGUGAUGGCGAGUUUUUGCCCCCUCGAGCUCAGACUUGUUGUGUCGGCUCCGAAUAAUUUCAAUUGCAUGACUUUUUUUCACCCUUGAACAACCUCGUGUAUUUAUGUACCUUUAUUUAUUUUCAAAAGUACAUUGCAGUUGCUACAAUAAAUAAAUGUUUGUGUU
rnacentral:misc_RNA from 1 species